rnacentral:pre_miRNA from 1 species
CAAUGCAUCUGAUUAUCCUCAACUUACUGAAUGUUCACGUUGAGGAAGUCGAUGGCAUUCG